GUGCCAGAUCAAAGACCACAAUAAAUGUCAUCCCAAGGUUUACAAAAAAAACUCAACAUAUAUCAAUACAUCAAACACCAACUCAUGCUUUUGGCAUGACACUUGAAUAUUCUGUUUUUGCAAACAAGCUUGUAUGCAGUUUGGGAGUUUGAAGCAUUCCCUUGUAUUCAGUUCGGGAGUUUGAAGCAUUCCCUUGUAUUGAGUGGGUAGGAGACAGCGUGACCCCAACCAAGCUGCGCCAGUUCGCAAAGUCUGCGGUGGUUGUGGUGUCUGGCAGAGCGCUUGGAGCCCUCAGGAAGCGCUAGGAGCAUCCUUCAACGGAGGUACCCAGUCUGGGUGCCAGGGGAUCCGUUACACCAACCACCUGUGGGAACAACUUGCACUUGGUGUUUCCUAUUACACUGCGUUUCGAGGUCGGCAGAUGCCGGUUAUCUGCCGACAUUGCAAUUACAAUACCGGGAACUACAUUUCCCAUCGUACCUAGCGGUCGGGAAACUAAGCCACGCACAUGACAUCUUCAAAUAGCCGAAACCACUCACUACAUGCUCGGUUGUUAUUGGUCCAUAAGUUUAUAUUUAUCAAUAUGUACCACUGUUUUCUUUAUUUAUGAUGUAUACAAUAAUGAUGUUUGCUGAUUGGAGGACAGUCUGUGAUGUAAUUUUGGUGCCAAUUUAAACUACUUUUCCCCUACAUCAACUCCUACUAGCCAGGCUAUAUCAGGCCUAUAUCAGUGAAACGCGUUAUGAUU